AGCGUUGUCCGGAAUCAUUGGGCGUAAAGCGCGUGUAGGCGGCUCGGUAAGUCCGCUGUGAAAGUCGGGGGCUCAACCCUCGAAUGCCGGUGGAUACUGGCGGGCUAGAGUGCGGGAGAGGCGAGUGGAAUUCCUGGUGUAGCGGUGAAAUGCGCAGAUAUCAGGAGGAACACCAAUUGCGAAGGCAGCUCGCUGGAACGUAACUGACGCUGAGACGCGAAAGCGUGGGGAGCAAACAGG
rnacentral:rRNA from 1 species